rnacentral:rRNA from 1 species
AACGAACGCUGGCGGCAUGCCUAACACAUGCAAGUCGAACGAGACCUUCGGGUCUAGUGGCGCACGGGUGCGUAACGCGUGGGAACCUGCCCUUAGGUUCGGAAUAACUCCCCGAAAGGGGUGCUAAUACCGGAUAAUGUCUUCGGACCAAAGAUUUAUCGCCUUUGGAUGGGCCCGCGUUGGAUUAGCUAGUUGGUAGGGUAAAAGCCUACCAAGGCGACGAUCCAUAGCUGGUCUGAGAGGAUGAUCAGCCACACUGGGACUGAGACACGGCCCUGACUACUACGGGAGGAAGCAGUGGGGAAUAUUGGACAAUGGGCGAAAGCCUGAUCCAGCCAUGCCGCGUGAGUGAUGAAGGCCUUAGGGUUGUAAAGCUCUUUUACCCGGGAUGAUAAUGACGGUACCGGGAGAAUAAGCUCCGGCUAACUCCGUG